AACGAACGCUGGCGGCAGGCUUAACACAUGCAAGUCGAACGCAUCGCAAGAUGAGUGGCAGACGGGUGAGUAACGCGUGGGAACAUACCCUUUUCUACGGAAUAGCUCUGGGAAACUGGAAUUAAUACCGUAUACGCCCUACGGGGGAAAGAUUUAUCGGGGAAGGAUUGGCCCGCGUUGGAUUAGCUAGUUGGUGGGGUAAAGGCCUACCAAGGCGACGAUCCAUAGCUGGUCUGAGAGGAUGAUCGGCCACAUUGGGACUGAGACACGGCCCAAACUCCUACGGGAGGCAGCAGUGGGGAAUAUUGGACAAUGGGCGCAAGCCUGAUCCAGCCAUGCCGCGUGAGUGAUGAAGGCCUUAGGGUUGUAAAGCUCUUUUGUCCGGGACGAUAAUGACGGUACCGGAAGAAUAAGCCCCGGCUAACUUCGUGCCAGCCGCCGCGGUAAAAC
rnacentral:rRNA from 1 species